rnacentral:rRNA from 1 species
GGCGGACGGGUGAGUAACACGUGAGCAAUCUGCCUUUCACAGGGGAAUAACACUGGGAAACCAGUGCUAAUACCGCAUGAUGUCCAUGCCCGGCAUCGGGGAUGGACCAAAGGAGUAAUCCGGUGAAAGAUGAGCUCGCGUCCGAUUAGGUAGUUGGUGAGGUAACGGCCCACCAAGCCUACGAUCGGUAGCCGGACUGAGAGGUUGAACGGCCACAUUGGGACUGAGACACGGCCCAGACUCCUACGGGAGGCAGCAGUGGGGAAUAUUGGGCAAUGGGGGAAACCCUGACCCAGCAACGCCGCGUGAAGGAUGAAGGCUUUCGGGUUGUAAACUUCUUUGAUCAGGGACGAAUAAAUGACGGUACCUGAGGAACAAGCCACGGCUAACUACGUGCCAGCAGCCGCGGUAAUACGUAGGUGGCAAGCGUUAUCCGGAUUUACUGGGUGUAAAGGGCGUGUAGGCGGGUCUGCAAGUCGGAUGUGAAAUUCCCGGGCUUAACUCGGGCGGGUCGUCCGAAACUGCGGAUCUUGAGUACUGGAGAGGAUAGUGGAAUUCCUAGUGUAGCGGUAAAAUGCGUAGAUAUUAGGAGGAACACCAGUGGCGAAGGCGGCUAUCUGGACGGUAACUGACGCUGAGGCGCGAAAGCGUGGGGAGCGAACGGGAUUAGAUACCCUGGUAGUCCACGC